rnacentral:misc_RNA from 1 species
AAGUCGUAACAAGGUUUCCGUAGGUGAACCUGCGGAAGGAUCAUUAGCAGGAAGCGUGGGACCGUGUGUGGUUCUGCGACGACCUUGUGCUGUGUGUGAGUGUGAGUGUGUGCGGUGCAUGUCUCGGCAUGCGCGCACAUCCCGCCAUUACCAACCCUUUUGCAUUGUUGUCUAAUCACCUGCACCCACUCGGUGCACAACCAUCGAAAACUGCCAGCAAUGGAUCACUCGGUUCUC